CGCGUUAAGUGUUCCGCCUGGGGAGUACGCACGCAAGUGUGAAACUCAAAGGAAUUGACGGGGGCCCGCACAAGCGGUGGAGUAUGUGGUUUAAUUCGAUGCAACGCGAAGAACCUUACCAGGGUUUGACAUCCUGCGAACCUCUUAGAAAUUUGAGGGUGCCUUCGGGAAUGCAGUGACAGGUGGUGCAUGGCUGUCGUCAGCUCGUGUCGUGAGAUGUUGGGUUAAGUCCCGCAACGAGCGCAACCCACGUUUUUAGUUGCCAGCAUUUAGUUGGGCACUCUAGAAAGACCGCCGGUGAUAAACCGGAGGAAGGUGUGGAUGACGUCAAGUCAUCAUGCCCCUUACACCCUGGGCUACACACGUACUACAAUGCUACGGACAAAGGGCAGCAAACUCGCGAGAGCUAGCAAAUCCCAUAAACCGUGGCUCAGUUCAGAUCGUAGGCUGCAACUCGCCUACGUGAAGUAGGAAUCGCUAGUAAUCGCAGGUCAGCAUACUGCGGUGAGUACGUUCCCGGGCCUUGUACACACCGCCCGUCACACCAUGGAAGUUGGCCAUGCCCGAAGUCGUUACUCCAACCCUUGUGGAGGAGUACGCCGAAGGUGGGGCUAAUGACUGGGGUGAAGUCGUAACAAGGUAACA
rnacentral:rRNA from 1 species